UACGGAGGGUCCAAGCGUUAUCCGGAAUCAUUGGGUUUAAAGGGUCCGUAGGCGGUUUUGUAAGUCAGUGGUGAAAGCCCAUCGCUCAACGGUGGAACGGCCAUUGAUACUGCAAGACUUGAAUUAUUAGGAAGUAACUAGAAUAUGUAGUGUAGCGGUGAAAUGCUUAGAGAUUACAUGGAAUACCAAUUGCGAAGGCAGCCCACUAAGCAACUAUUGACGCUGAGGCACGAAAGCGUGGGGAUCAAACAGG
rnacentral:rRNA from 1 species